rnacentral:rRNA from 1 species
AUUGAACGCUGGCGGCAGGCUAAACACAUGCAAGUCGAGCGAGCGGCGGACGGGUGAGUAAUGUCUGGGAAACUGCCUGAUGGAGGGGGAUAGCUAGUGGAAACGGUAGCUAAUACCGCAUACCAUCAGAUGUGCCCAGAUGGGAUUAGCUCGUAGGUGGGGUAAUGGCUCACCUGGGCGACGAUGCCUAGCUGGUCUGAGAGGCUGACCAGCCACACUGGAACUGGGACACGGUCCAGACUCCUACGGGAGGCAGCAGUGGGGAAUAUUGCACAAUGGGCGCGAGCCGGAUGAAGCCAGGCCUCGUGUGUGAAGAAGGCCUUCGGGUUGUAAAGCACUUUCAGCGAGGAGGCGUUACUCGCAGAAGAAGCACCGGCUAACUCCGUACCAGCAGCCGCGGUAAUUC